GAGUUUGAUCUUGGCUCAGGAUGAACGCUAGCGGCAGGCCUAACACAUGCAAGUCGAGGGGUAGAGGGUGCUUGCACCCUUGAGACCGGCGCACGGGUGCGUAACGCGUAUGCAACCUACCUAUUGCAGGGGAAUAGCCCAGGGAAACUUGGAUUAAUGCCCCAUAGCCCACAUUGAGAGCAUUCGAUAUGUGGUAAAGAUUCAUCGGCAAUAGAUGGGCAUGCGUCCUAUUAGCUAGUUGGUGCGGUAACGGCGCACCAAGGCUGCGAUAGGUAGGGGCCCUGAGAGGGGGAUCCCCCACACUGGUACUGAGACACGGACCAGGCUCCUACGGGAGGCAGCAGUGAGGAAUAUUGGACAAUGGGGGCAACCCUGAUCCAGCCAUGCCGCGUGAGUGAUGAAGGCCUUCGGGUUGUAAA
rnacentral:rRNA from 1 species